rnacentral:tRNA from 1 species
GUUGUUGUGGUGUAGUGGUUAUCACGUCAGUCUUACACAUUGAAGGUCCCCAGUUUGAACUUGGGCAACAACA